rnacentral:rRNA from 1 species
UACGUAGGAUCCAAGCGUUGUCCGGAUUUACUGGGUGUAAAGGGUGCGCAGGUGGACUGGUUAGUCUGGGGUGAAAUCUCAUCGCUCAACGGUGAAACUGCCUUAGAUACUGCCAGUCUUGAAUUAGGGAGAGGUUCGUGGAAUUCCGAGUGUAGCAGUGAAAUGUGUAGAUAUUCGGAAGAACACCAGUGGCGAAGGCAGCGAACUGGCCCUUAAUUGACGCUCAGGCACGAAAAGCAUGGGGAUCAAACAGG